CACAACACAAAAUAUUUUAUGCAGUUUGGAUWUUUUUUAAAGAUAACUCCAAAAUGUACUUUGGUUCUUUAAACGAUUAUUCUCACUGACCAGAUCAAAAGCCUUUGCUGACACCUUAAUAAAAAACAACCAGAACUCAGCCUAUGAAUAAACGUCAAAGAGACAUGCUUCGGCAUAUGUUCCAUCUUCUUACAACUGAUCCAGCAGCUGCAUGAGCUCCAAACUAAAGGAAGUGACAUGUUUCCCAGAGGAAGAACCAGAAACUCCUCUUCAACUGAGCCUCCAGCUUUGGUGACAAAAAGCAUCAAUUUACCAGCGGGAAGUGAUGUGCAGCUAAACGAGGAGGGAGGUGAUGGUGAACGUGUGUGUGAGGAAUACAAAUGCUUAAUAUUUACACAGUGUUUUGUUACAUGAUGUAUCUGAGUUGUCUCAGUAUAUUCAUGCUGAUGGAAUGUUAUGGGAGGUGUGGAUGUGUUUCAUCAGUAAGGUCUGGUAGAGAACUUCUUGUUUCAACAAAGAUGGAAAAUAUGAUGCAAAAUAGUAAAAAAAAAUAGACAAAAUGCUUUAGAGAUCUGAGACUGGGAUGGACCAUAACCACCCUGCUGAAGCUACAGUGUUUUAAGGAGAACCAGUUAAAGUUCUGGACUAGUCGAGUUAAAAUCAAGACCUCCAUCUAACUGAGAAUCUCUGGCUUUAUUUAGAGACGAGCCAUUUCCAUCCACCGAGAAGACUGGUCAUGAAGAAGCUUCAUUUAGAAGCCUCAGUGUUAACGUGUUUUAUAAACUUGUGUUGUCUCCAUCCUCAGUCUGAAGUUGUCAGUCUUUCCUGUCAAACAAGUGACUGACAGCUGGAACAAGUCAGACAGCUGUCCAUCAGCAGAACAAGUCAACCUUUUCACAACAUCACAUUGUUUCACCUUCAGACACCUAAGAGCUCCAGACUCACUCAAAACAUGUGUGACGGCCCUGCUGCGCCUCCUGCUUACAGCUGAUUAGGCUGGCAGGUGCCUUCUAUGAGUUGUGCUUCCGUUUAAGGUCCUGAAGGGGAGGAGCUGAAGAGGUCGGAGCUUGUCUUAAGGAGCGUCUGGACUGAGGAGGAGAGGUCUGGCGGUGUGAGGCAACGACGGCAGCACGAACACUGUGUGGCAGUGUGUGUAGUGAGAGGUCCGAGGUCUGCAGUGUGACGAGGGAAGCACUGUGAGGACAAGAGGAGGACGAACACACACGGAGGGGCACGCUGCAUUGUGAAGACGAGAGAAGGUCCUGCCUACUGCUGUUUCUACUGCUGAUUAGCUGGAUGGCUAAUGUUUGGUUGGAUCUUGAGCUCUGAAGCGAGAAGGGAUUGGAGCUGACGGACAACAGCUGCGUGGGGCGUUGUACGUCAGAAGACGGCGUCAUGAAGGCAGACUGGCGGCCCAUCCUGCUUCCUUUAAUCCAGCAUCGUGUUUCCAUGUUGACCCUGAAGGUUCUAGAGCACCGAUGCUGGACCAGCUCCUCUCACCUUUUGAAAGCACUGAACAAACAAUGUUUUCUUCCUCCACACCUUCAGGAAGUGUGUAUUUAAAGCUCCCCCGAGUUACACAGACAUGAGGAACAUUUGGAAAAGAAAAAAUACAACUCCUUAUAAUCUUUCCUUUGCUACUUUAUACUUCUGUAUUCUGUGUCACUUCCACCCCGACCAGUCCCUCCAUUCUUCCUCCACCUGUCGUGUCUCUUCAUACCCACCUUAGAUUAUUAGAGUUAUGAUUUUAAUGUAAAUAUGUUGCUCUGCCAAUCUACACACUCAUUAUUGCUGUUGCUUAAUUGUUGAAUGGUUAUCUUCAAACAGCUUUGCAAAUUAUGAAUGACUUGUUCUGCAUUGCUGUCCUGAUAGAAGAAAACUUCAAACAGCAGAUGUUACCUGUUUGUACAGAAACAUCAUCAGGUUGUUUGGUUGUACUGUCAGUCUGCAUGAAAUCCACUGCUGUGCUGCUUUAAAAGACUGUUUCGGCAACCUGUUUUGUAUCUGUGUGUGUCCAUGCUCACAUGCACUUGUGGGGUUUGGUACAGUAGAGGAGGCUGAGUUGUAGUCACCUCAUCACUGAGGCAAGUGAGUUCCCACUAAUUUACAGGUGAAAAAUGCAGUAAAUGCAUCUUUAAAUCUAAAGCUGGAGAAGUGAUGAGCAAUGUUUAACCAGAGCAGCACGAGUCGACCUGCAUCAACAACAGCAUCUGUGUGUGUGUGUGUGUGUGUGUGUGUGUGUGUGUGUGUGUGNUGUGUGUGUGUGUGUGUGUGUGUGUGUGUGUGUGUGUGUGUGUGUACUGCUGCCUGCCUGUGGAAAGGUCAGAGCAACGUCACGCCUCUGACUCUGAAGCUCCUGCACAACUGACCAAAUCAAAGCGCCGCAGCGAGUUGAGGAUAAUGCAAGCGAUGGUGAGAUGGAUGAGGGAGCGUUGUCAUGGAGACUGAGCUGAGAUGCUCGCAGAGUAAAUGAGUCGCAUCGAGACGGGCUUCAAAGUGGAAAGUGGUGAAAAUGGCUUCAUGGUAUGCACCUCAGUAAUCUGCUGCUGCACCACACCCUGCAGCUGCAAUCAGGAGUGCACUCACGUGGCGAGGAUUAGAACGCCGCCACUGUGCUUUUAUUAAUCCGCUUUUCAAGACAAAAUGAUGUUUUACAGAAACCAGACUCAAAUUUGCCUCAAAUUAAAAACAUCCACAUAUGAUACAGGUAAUAUUGAAGCCUAAUUUAAAUCCAGUCAGACUCCUGUUGUCACCAUUAGCUCAGUGUUUAAAGAGUUUUUACCCAGGAUUAUUUCACCAAACGCAUAAGAAUUAAGACUCUAUUUGAAGUUCUGUAACACUGCAGUUCAGAUUGAUCAAAUGUAAAUAAAUCUUCAUUGAAUACAACAAAUACAAAAAAAAUAAACAAAUAAAUGUUCUAGAUAUUUGGUGUGGUACCCAGCUACUUUAACAGAUUACUCAGACGUCUUGAGCCUGAUGGUGAAUGAAAACAUUUUAUGGUUUGCUUUAUUCCUCAAUAUUAGAAAAUUUUAUGUACAAAGAUCAGGCCACUGUUCAGCAUUGUGUGAUCUUCCUGAUCCAGCCUGGGGCCUGAGAGUUAUGAGACAACAGCACUGAUCACUGAGGAUUCGUAGGCCUCAAGUGGUUUGAUGUAGAAUAAUUUGGAUGAAUUGCAGGGAAAUUAAUUUUUAAAAAUGAGGAGAAAAAACAUGCAUCACUGCAAAUGUAACAUUUUUUUGUAUUUGAAAAAA